GGAAGGAGGAGCCGACACUUGACAGAAUCCCCUCCUCCACCAUCUCUGACCUCCCCAGCAGCCGGCCACUAAGUUGCAUUUGGCGAGAGUUCCCCGUAGUAAUUUGGUUAAUUGGAUGAACAGGCACUUCAGUGACAGAGACUGGAUUUCCACACUGCAGUCCAUCAGAACUAAUCAGCUGGCUGUGUUCCAUUUCUCAGCAACUGACAGCUUCACCAGGGUGAAAAUAUGAUGCUGGCAUGCUCAUUGCGUGAGACAACUUGGCCCACAGACAGCCACAAAGCACAAAAACAGAACAAACUCAGAGAAGAAACAAGAAUGGUGUUUUCCUGGCGUCUACAAGAAGCGCUUUAUUUUUCCUCUAGAUUUCUUUUCUAAAAAAAGUGAAACAAAACAAAAAACAAAACUGAAAACAUUUUAAAGAAACGA